rnacentral:rRNA from 1 species
AUUGAACGCUGGCGGCAGGCUUAACACAUGCAAGUCGAGCGGAGCGAGGGUGCUUGCACCUUAGCUUAGCGGCGGACGGGUGAGUAAUGCUUAGGAAUCUGCCUAUUAGUGGGGGACCACAUUCCGAAAGGGAUGCUAAUACCGCAUACGCCCUACGGGGGAAAGCAGGGGAUCUUCGGACCUUGCGCUAAUAGAUGAGCCCAAGUCGGCUUAGCUAGUGGGUGGGGGAAAGGCCUACCAAGGCGACGAUCUGUAGCGGGUCUGAGAGGAUGGUCCGCCACACUGGGACUGAGACACGGCCCAGACUCCUACGGGAGGCAGCAGUGGGGAAUAUUGGACAAUGGGCGGAAGCCUGAUCCAGCCAUGCCGCGUGUGUGAAGAAGGCCUUUUGGUUGUAAAGCACUUUAAGCGAGGAGGAGGCUACUAGUAUUAAUACUACUGGAUAGUGGACGUUACUCGCAGAAUAAGCACCGGCUAACUCUGUGCCAGCCGCCGCAGUAA